GCCUAAUAAUCCCACAAUAAUUGCAACACGUCCAAGUGCCGAGAGGCACAGAUAAGUUCAAAGACUCACAGCUUUAAUGCCAGCAUACGCAACAUAAAUAUUUCAAUUAGAUACAUUAAAUAGCAGAUUUUUUUUUCAUUUUAUCUUUUACAUCAGCUGAUUUAAAAAUUCAGUAAUACUAAAUGUAAUAUAUGAGAACAUAAUUAUACUCACCUAAUGAGUCAUCAUUAUUUCACAUUAAAUAUUUAAAUGUUAAAAAAAAAAAAAAACUCCAUUUGUCAUCCAUGCAUGUUUUAAGAAGGAAUGGAAACAAAGGCAGUGCAAUUGCCUUUUUUUUUUAAUGGUCUAAAAAGUCCCUCUGUGGUUGGUGGUCAUCCCAGUUGAAACUGAAAAAGCAAACAGUUGUAUAGCAGCAUGCAGAAUCCAGGGUAACACAAAGCUGAAAUCACUUCAGGAUCAAUAACAGAUUUUAAAAAAUGACAUUGAUAAGAAGAAUCACAACAUGCUCAUCUAAACGUCCCAGAUAAUCAAAAGAGAGAAGCGUAGAGAAGUGUAGAAGAGGAAGAGAAAGCAGAAAGAAGAGAAAGAGGAAAAGAAAAAGAAAAAGAGAGAGAGAAAUGGAGAAAGAAAACAGUGAAAUGGAGAAAGAGGGAAGAGAGAGAGAGGGAGGGUUCGAGAGCGAGUGUGAGUGGUGGCUAAAUACGAGAGAGAAAAACUGAGAGAGUUGGCCCACAACGUGAGCUUGAUUAGAAAAAAAAUGCUUACUAAGCUAUCCAUUUCACACAUGCAGAGACAGAGGGUUCGAUAUUCAGCCGAUCGAUGAGGGAAAAGGCACAAAGGCAAAAUCGGAUGGAGCUCCUUUUCAAAUUCACAUCUCCGAUGUCCCCCCCAGCAGUCUGCGCUGGUGCGACGCACAGGGAGCAAGGGUUACCUCAAGGCUGUUCCGUGGACCAUGCAAACAAGUCUAGACCAGUGACCUGCUCAAUCGCUCCCUUUGAGGGCCAGGCAAGUUCGGUCAGGAAGAAGAAAGCAAGGCGUGCCCUCUUUUCAUUGAGGGAGCAAGGAGGCAGACGGCGGUGUUCAAGCGAAGCUCCUCAGACUGAGCACAUCUCUGCACAGAUGAGCUGAGAGGUCAAUGAGUUUCUGGGCUGCCACAGUGACUGCCAAGUACAACCAGACACACUCUAUUAGAUGCAUUAUAAAACUGUUGAAACUCUGUCUCUUUCUCUCGCUCUGCUUCUCUCUCACACAAAGAAUACAAAAGAAAUACACUCUUUUAUUACUUUCAAAAUGCUUUUGAGCAGACUUUGUUCAAUAAAGGAAUAAAAGGUGAAUAACUUUAUCCUCUUGCUUGUUUUUUCAAAGAAACAUACUGUGACUUUUAUACACAGGACAUACUACAAGAGAUUUUAACAGGUCAAAGUUGUCUUUGCUGUUUUAGUAGGAGGAUAAGAUGGCAUUUGAGUAUAAAUGUGUAAAAUGUAUUUCACUCAGGCCGGUUAAUCUGAAUCUGACAUUUGGACAUUUUAAGCAUUUAACAGCAUUGCCCUG
ensembl:lncRNA